AAUUGCCCUGAUGUGGGGGAUAACCAUUGGAAACGAUGGCUAAUACCGCAUGAUGCCUACGGGCCAAAGAGGGGGACCUUCGGGCCUCUCGCGUCAGGAUAUGCCUAGGUGGGAUUAGCUAGUUGGUGAGGUAAGGGCUCACCAAGGCGACGAUCCCUAGCUGGUCUGAGAGGAUGAUCAGCCACACUGGAACUGAGACACGGUCCAGACUCCUACGGGAGGCAGCAGUGGGGAAUAUUGCACAAUGGGCGCAAGCCUGAUGCAGCCAUGCCGCGUGUGUGAAGAAGGCCUUCGGGUUGUAAAGCACUUUCAGUCGUGAGGAAGGUAGUGUAGUUAAUAGCUGCAUUAUUUGACGUUAGCGACAGAAGAAGCACCGGCUAACUCCGUGCCAGCAGCCGCGGUAAUACGGAGGGUGCGAGCGUUAAUCGGAAUUACUGGGCGUAAAGCGCAUGCAGGUGGUUUGUUAAGUCAGAUGUGAAAGCCCGGGGCUCAACCUCGGAAUUGCAUUUGAAACUGGCAGACUAGAGUACUGUAGAGGGGGGUAGAAUUUCAGGUGUAGCGGUGAAAUGCGUAGAGAUCUGAAGGAAUACCGGUGGCGAAGGCGGCCCCCUGGACAGAUACUGACACUCAGAUGCGAAAGCGUGGGGAGCAAACAGGAUUAGAUACCCUGGUAGUCCACGCCGUAAACGAUGUCUACUUGGAGGUUGUGGCCUUGAGCCGUGGCUUUCGGAGCUAACGCGUUAAGUAGACCGCCUGGGGAGUACGGUCGCAAGAUUAAAACUCAAAUGAAUUGACGGGGGCCCGCACAAGCGGUGGAGCAUGUGGUUUAAUUCGAUGCAACGCGAAGAACCUUACCUACUCUUGACAUCCAGAGAACUUUCCAGAGAUGGAUUGGUGCCUUCGGGAACUCUGAGACAGGUGCUGCAUGGCUGUCGUCAGCUCGUGUUGUGAAAUGUUGGGUUAAGUCCCGCAACGAGCGCAACCCUUAUCCUUGUUUGCCAGCGAGUAAUGUCGGGAACUCCAGGGAGACUGCCGGUGAUAAACCGGAGGAAGGUGGGGACGACGUCAAGUCAUCAUGGCCCUUACGAGUAGGGCUACACACGUGCUACAAUGGCGCAUACAGAGGGCAGCCAACUUGCGAAAGUGAGCGAAUCCCAAAAAGUGCGUCGUAGUCCGGAUUGGAGUCUGCAACUCGACUCCAUGAAGUCGGAAUCGCUAGUAAUCGUGGAUCAGA
rnacentral:rRNA from 1 species